UUUUUUUUAUUUAUUUAAAUAAAAUAAUGUUUGUUAAAUAAGGGUAAAAAUGAAAUAAAAAUGUUAUAAUUUAUUCCAUUCCGUUCACUUCCCAAACGAUGGAGUGGUAAGUUUGUUUCAUUCCAUCGUUGAAUAUCCAAACAAUGGAAUGGACUUUGUGUUCCAUUCCGUCCCGCUCCAUUCCAUUCCAUUAUGUUCCAUUCCGCUCCAUUCCAUU
rnacentral:lncRNA from 1 species